GCCUUCCCGAUGAGCACAAGACAAGAGCAGGUCAGUGUCUUGUCAUCAUUUAUGAACAGGCCUUCCCGAUGAGCACAAGACAAGAGCAGGUCAGUGUCUUGUCAUCAUUUAUGAACAGGCCUUCCCGAUGAGCACAAGACAAGAGCAGGUCAGUGUCUUGUCAUCAUUUAUGAACAGGCCUUCCCGAUGAGCACAAGACAAGAGCAGGUCAGUGUCUUGUCAUCAUUUAUGAACAGGCCUUCCCGAUGAGCACAAGACAAGAGCAGGUCAGUGUCUUGUCAUCAUUUAUGAACAGGCCUUCCCGAUGAGCACAAGACAAGAGCAGGUCAGUGUCUUGUCAUCAUUUAUGAACAGGCCUUCCCGAUGAGCACAAGACAAGAGCAGGUCAGUGUCUUGUCAUCAUUUAUGAACGGGCCUUCCCGAUGAGCACAAGACAAGAGCAGGUCAGUGUCUUGUCAUCAUUUAUGAACGGGCCUUCCCGAUGAGCACAAGACAAGAGCAGGUCAGUGUCUUGUCAUCAUUUAUGAACAGGCCUUCCCGAUGAGCACAAGACAAGAGCAGGUCAGUGUCUUGUCAUCAUUUAUGAACAGGCCUUCCCGAUGAGCACAAGACAAGAGCAGGUCAGUGUCUUGUCAUCAUUUAUGAACAGGCCUUCCCGAUGAGCACAAGACAAGAGCAGGUCAGUGUCUUGUCAUCAUUUAUGAACAAGCCUUCCCGAUGAGCACAAGACAAGAGCAGGUCAGUGUCUUGUCAUCAUUUAUGAACAGGCCUUCCCGAUGAGCACAAGACAAGAGCAGGUCAGUGUCUUGUCAUCAUUUAUGAACAGGCCUUCCCGAUGAGCACAAGACAAGAGCAGGUCAGUGUCUUGUCAUCAUUUAUGAACAGGCCUUCCCGAUGAGCACAAGACAAGAGCAGGUCAGUGUCUUGUCAUCAUUUAUGAACAGGCCUUCCCGAUGAGCACAAGACAAGAGCAGGUCAGUGUCUUGUCAUCAUUUAUGAACGGGCCUUCCCGAUGAGCACAAGACAAGAGCAGGUCAGUGUCUUGUCAUCAUUUAUGAACAGGCCUUCCCGAUGAGCACAAGACAUGAAAA